GAGGACUAUUGGCCAUGAAACAUCUGAAGAAGUGAUACCACUUUGGAAUGAAUAGUAAAUUCCAAUACCUGGCCUUGUAGGCCUAUUCACACUCACUCUCAGGCCUUUUAUCAGUGAUAUUAAAUCCUUCCUGAAAUAUAUCACAUUUGCUAUUUUUUCUUAUCUGUUACUUCUGUAAUUCUGUCUCUAUAACAGAACAAGCAAUCAAUUUUUCUGAUAAUAUGAAUUCUUUGUAUACUUGAUCUACUUACUACUUCUUAGAGGGACAAAUGGCAUUCAGCCACCUGAGAUUGAGCAAUAAUGGGUCUGUGAUGCCCUUAGAUGUCCAGGGCCUCACCUUGUGCCUACCCUCCACCAGCAGGCACGGGCAACCCAUUGAACCCCAUUCAUGAUGGGGAUCGGGGAUUGCAUUUCUUCCCCAUGAACAAGGAAUGGCCAGUAAGUGCGGGUCAUAAGCUCGCAUUGAUUAAGUCCCUGCCCUUUGUACACACUGCCCGUCGCUACUACCGAUUGGAUGGUUCAGUGAGGUCCUCGGAUCGGCCGCGGCGGGGUCGGCCCUGGCCCUGUCGGAGCGUUGAGAAGACAGUCGAACUUGACUAUCAAGAGGAAGUAGAAGUUGUAACAAGGCUUCCAUAGGUGAACCUGCAGAAAGAUCAUUACGGCCGGUCACGAGCUGUGCUCCCCAGGGCUCAGUUUUGGGGCCGGUCUUGUUCAAUAUCUUUAUCAAUGAUCUGGAUGAGGGGAUCGAGUGCACCCUCAGUAAGUUUGCAGACGACACCAAGUUGGGCGGCAGUGUUGAUCUGCUCGAGGGUAGGAAGGCUCUGC
rnacentral:ncRNA from 1 species